AGGAAUUAGUCAAUGUUCUGAAAUUUUAAAAAAUCAUUCAUUCAUUCAUUCAUUUAUCCAUCCAUCUAUUCAUUCAUUCAUGCAUGCAGGCAUACACAAACCGGCACUGACAUCUGAGCAGCCACUACGCACGUUCACUGAAAGAGGACCAAUGGUGACUAAGAGAGGUGCUUCCAACUCUGUCCGGACCAGAGGGUCUGCUGGAAUGUACAGGCACUGGGAAAGGCUGAAGCCUCCUGGGAAAGUGACCACAGACUGACGUCAUCUGGAGAUGAAGACAGGGGAAUCAAGGCCAAGAACCCAGGGACUUCCCUGAGGAGGGCUCCCUAAGAAGGUGGAGCCCACAGCCCGCUAACCUUCCUUCAAUGACAGUGGGGGGCCCCUAACGGGCAUCCUGGGUGCUCGCUCUGGGACGAGCAUGAGGGUAACCCUAGUCAGUGUUCCUACUGCCCAGGCUAAACAUCUGCUUCAACCUCACAGUUCAUGAUUUUGCAUACCUUAUCAUUCAUUCCAGAGUCUCCCUCUCGCAUCUCAGGUGCUUCCUCCCUCUCCUCGAAGGGAAGGUCCAUGUAGCUAUUCACCCAGGAGAUAGGAAGCAAACUGGGCUUCGGAGAAAAAAUUCAAUGCCAUUACUGAUACCAUUUCCUCUCCAUUCUGCAACUGAGAACACAGUUGGCAGGCAACCUCGCCCCCCAGAUCUUGACAGAAGCUGGAGGGCUCUGCGAUCUGUGGGUGAGAUAAUGACACCACCUAAUUUGUUCUGAGCUCCCUGCAAGCUGCAGGGAAGAAGCCGGGAUUGUAGUUUGCUCUGAAAUACAAAAAUAAAAUAAA
rnacentral:lncRNA from 1 species